GGGCUGCAGUAUAUUGACUGUACAAAGGUAGCAUAAUCAUUAGUCAUUUAAUUGAUGACUUGUAUGAAAGAUUGGAUGAAAUAUAGACUGUCUCUUAAUUAAAUUAUAGAAUUUAAUUUUUUAAUUAAAAAGUUAAAAUGAAUUAAAAAGACGAGAAGACCCUAUAGAGUUUUAUAUUUAAAUUAGUUGAGAUUAUUUAUAUAAUUAUUAAUUAAAAUUAUUUUAAAUAUUUUGUUGGGGUGACAAAAAAAUAUAAAUAACUUUUUUUAUUAUUUAACAUAUAUAAGUGAAUGUAUGAUCCAAUAUUAUUGAUUAUAAGAAAAAAUUACCUUAGGGAUAACAGCGUAAUUUUUUUUUUUAGUUCAAAUAAGAAAAAGAGUUUGCGACCUCGAUGUUGGAUUAAGAUAAAAUUUAAAUG
rnacentral:rRNA from 1 species